AACAACAACAACAACAACAACAACUACCCAGUAUACUCCCACCAGGUGGAGUCUGGGGAGGGUAAUAUGUAGACGAGCCUUACCCCUAUUAUAUUUAUGUUGUAUGAUAUUAUAGUUGUAUAUAACUGAGUAGAAAUAAUGUACGAAAAUUAUAGAUAAAUUACAUAAUAUAUACUUAGUUGUAUGAAAUUUAUUUUUACUAUGUAUAAAUCAUAUACAAAAUAUAUAAAAGACAUAUUGUAUAAAAUUUGUAUUUAAGCUGUAUUUAACCGAGUAAAAAUAAUGUGUGAAAGUUAUAGAUAAAUUAUAUAUGAAUUGUAUAAUAUAUAAUUUAUUGUAUGAAAUUUAUUUUACUAUGUAUAAAUUAGAUACAAAAUAUAUAAAAGACAUUAUAUAAAAUUUAUAUAAAAAUUAUAUUUAAGUGAUAUUAUAUUGUAAUUGAAUAUAACUGAAAGGUGAGAGAGUCUUUGGCAAAGGUGUCUUCGUGGACGUACACUGCUUUCUUCACGAGUAGCUUUCGGAGAGAAUCCCAUCUCCGAUAGAUUUCCUAUCGUAGCUUUCUUCACGAGUAGCUUUUGCAGAGAAUCCCAUCUCCGAUAGAUUUCCUAUUGUAGCGCUCCAUCUCUCACUACCCACUUUCCCCUUCUCCUCAGCUAUCCGAACCAGGACCGGCUCCUAAAAUAUAUCACAGUUGACUCGUUAGUUGGAGCAAGUUCGUGUUUAGUCCCUUGAGUUAAAUUUUGAUUUAUGAAUUGGUUGGGUUUCGGAAGUGGCUGAUGGCCUGUGGUAGCUCCUUUAAUUUGGUAGCAGGCAACAAAUCUAGAUUAUUUAAAAUCGAGACAUAAAUGCGGAAAAACUUUUGUAACAGAACUAUGAUUGAGGAGAUAGGAAAAAAAGAAAAAGUAUAAAGAGAGGUAAAAUAGUCGUGGACUUUGUAGAAGCAAAAUCUACACUGUGAUUUGCUUGUUUAGCCAUGGAAGGGUUAGUUUUAAAUUUGGGGCAGUUCAUAAUUAUAUUCUUUUUCAAGCCAUAGCUUUU
rnacentral:lncRNA from 1 species